CUAAAGGCUAUGAAAAGAACAAGUAAAGGUAUUUUACCCUUAACAGAGAGUUCCCGGUUGGUGAGAGGGGCUAAGGAAAUUAUCUUGAAUACAUCUUGGAGCCAAGCACUGAAUCCAUUUAUUUUGGUAGUAAGCUGCUUUCGGAUAGUUUCCGUUAAUAACUCUAUAAACACAAUUGCGCAAUAUGUGUUUAUUUUAAUAAGGUCACAAUUUUGUGAUAAAUUAAGGUGGUACCACGUGAGUAUGCUCUCGUCCUUUAU
rnacentral:ncRNA from 1 species